CCAGGAUACAUCAAAAUUUUCCACCCUCCUGCGUCAGCAUCUCAAAGUGCUGGCAUUACAGACAUGUGCCCUGUCCAAUGUGACAGUAUUCUAAGAAAAUCAAAGGGUACCACCCUCCCCCAGUGCGGGUACAGACUCAAGCGCAGACAGACUUCAGGCCCUGGUUUUGCCCUUCCGCAGGGCAAAUGGGGGAUUCAAGGUCGAAGCGUCGUAGACACAGAAAAAGAAAUAAAAGAUCAAAGAACAAGAAACAAAAUUCGAUCAAUGCGGAAACCAGGAGUAUGAGCCCUCAGACGACGCGUCGAUUUCAGGAGCUCUUCGAACACACGCACCAUCAAAUUGAUACCCAUCCCCACCUCUAUCCCCAAAACUAUGAACCCUCCCCACAAGAUCUUCUGUUUUUUCUCCAACUGCUUUACCUGCACUAAGUGGUAAACAUCACCGCUAUCACUUUUGUCUGGAGCCUCUGCUUCUACCAUCAUCUUUCUUAGAGGUCCCUCUUUUUAGGCUCGCCCCCUG
rnacentral:lncRNA from 1 species